rnacentral:rRNA from 1 species
UGGGGAAUAUUGGACAAUGGGCGCAAGCCUGAUCCAGCCAUGCCGCGUGAGUGAUGAAGGCCCUAGGGUUGUAAAGCUCUUUCACCGGUGAAGAUAAUGACGGUAACCGGAGAAGAAGCCCCGGCUAACUUCGUGCCAGCAGCCGCGGUAAUACGAAGGGGGCUAGCGUUGUUCGGAUUUACUGGGCGUAAAGCGCACGUAGGCGGACUAUUAAGUCAGGGGUGAAAUCCCGGGGCUCAACCCCGGAACUGCCUUUGAUACUGGUAGUCUUGAGUUCGAGAGAGGUGAGUGGAAUUCCGGGUGUAGAGGUGAAAUUCGUGGAUAUUCGGAGAAACACCAGUGGCGAAGGCGGCUCACUGGCUCGAUACUGACGCUGAGGUGCGAAAGCGUGGGGAGCAAACAGG